rnacentral:piRNA from 1 species
UACUUUAGGAAAGGUAAAAGUUGAUUUGU